UACGUAGAGAGCAAGCGUUGUUCGGAUUUACUGGGCGUAAAGGGCGCGUAGGCGGCAUAUUAAGUCAUCUGUGAAAUCUCCGAGCUUAACUCGGAACUGUCAGCUGAUACUGAUGUGCUAGAGUGCGGAAGGGGCAAUCGGAAUUCUUGGUGUAGCGGUGAAAUGCGUAGAUAUCAAGAGGAACACCUGAGGUGAAGACGGGUUGCUGGGCCGACACUGACGCUGAGUGCGCGAAAGCCAGGGGAGCAAACGGG
rnacentral:rRNA from 1 species